CAGCAAGCGGACAUUUUGUACAGGAGCAAUGCAAAGAUGGGUGAAUACGAUACGUUGUUUUUAACCGAAGACGAUGUUCCCGGGGCGAAACUGCCAACACCAAAAGUAAAGGAUCAUGCCAACUUUGUUUUGGAACGAUGUGGUUAGCCUGUCAGUGGCGAGUUGGGGAGAAAAGAGCAGCAUUGAUAGCAAGGCUACCAAGUACAUAUCAACUCAUUUUUGUGGCAGUUGACCAUUACAUCAUGUGUGCAGAUGCAAAAACUGCGUAGAAGUUGGUAAAGCUGUAGAGAUCGAUGUGAGCAUAGAUCAGGGGAAAUAGUAUUAGAGAAAUUAGGAGGACAAGACAUAGAUAAUGUACUAGUAGAUCCAUCAUCACUGCAAGGGUAGUUUGUGUGAUCCUGUCCCUGAAACUGUGCCACAAGUUUUCAACUGGUUGAGUCCUUACUAAGACAAGCCGCUGCGGUGU